rnacentral:lncRNA from 1 species
AUCUGUGCAGAGACUCAAGAGAAUUCCAGAUAAACUCCAGUCCAACUAAACUUCUUUAAUAUAUUUACAUUCUACUAAAAUACAUUCAUUUACAAUCAGCAUAUAUGCAGCUGAAACAGGGAGCAGCCUAGUGCAAAAUCCCAAGUUACAUUAUCAACAUUUACAUUUUAAUAUUUUAACAUUAUAGUCAUUAUAGCUUUUAGUAAAAUGUGUUUUGGGGAGGAGAGUUAUUAAACUCUACCUACAGAGUAAUGAAUAGAGAUACUUUUCACAGUAUUAUCACAGUUUUGUUUACUGGAAGUUUAUUUAGAAGCAUUUCAGCUAUAAACCGAAGAACUAAGACUUUUAUUCUGUAAAGAAUAAUAUCUAUAAUAGAAAUGUGUUUAAUAUAAACUGCUUUUUUACACAGUCAGUACCGUCAUUUCAGAGCUGAGCUCUAACACACUAAAGCACUGUAAUAGUGCAGGAACAGCGCCACCCAGUGGUAGAACUGAACUCUAACAGGUUCUGCUUCUCAGAGACCCGAUAUCUAUAGUGACUGACAGCAUACAGAACUCACUGUGCGCUGCAAAGAGAAAAACACUUUAUUUAACAAAUUUAAAGUUUUUUACAAACACAUAUAUUCUACAAUAAUUAUUGUUAUGGUUCUGCUACUGUACCAUCCACAGAACCCCAUGUAUAAUAUUUUAUGUUAAUAUGAUUAAAAAGAUAUUUGAGAUUUUUAUUAAUAUUUGCUGCCUGUUUCCCACUAGUUUUAGCUGAUAUAGGUCCACCUUUAUUUAGAUAAAUAUUUAUUCCCAUAUAAUGUUCCUGUAAUGUUUAAUAAUAAUAAAUAAUAAUAAAUAAAUAAUAUAAUAAUCAUAAAUAAUAAUAAUAAAUAAUGAGCUGUAAUGACUGUAAACUAUAGAAACUUGUUAACUUGUGUUUUUAUGUUUACAGAUGAGCCUCAGACUAAUAACGGAGCCACAGCAGAAGCGAGCAGCUCCAGUGCAGAGGCGGGACAGGCCACCGGGCCUCAAGUUAAUGAUGUGACAACAGCUGAUGGAACGAAAUCCAGCACUGAAGAACAAGAGGAGAACGAGAGUCCGGAGUCGGAGGAGGCGGUGAAAGCCGCUCCGGUUCAGCGCAACACGAAGUCCAACAACCCUGCGCCGCGCAAACGCAGCAAACCCGUCGCCGCGUCCAAGAAGAGGACGCGGUCCUUCCGCCCGUGAGAUCGGCAGCGCCGCGGGAGGACGCAGACGCUACUACUGAUACCAAGCCAAGAGCACGAGGGCAGAAACACUGCUGUAUCCAGUGGCAUUUCCAUCUGUUCUGAUUAAAUAACCACGAAAUUAGGCCUGAUUCUGUUGGGAUGUACUGUAUUGGGUGUUGUUUCAUUGUUUGUUUGUUUGUUUGUUUGUCUGGUCACUCGUUUUGUGGUGCUGACAAUUUCAGGUCAAGAAGGUAAAACUCCGCCCCGGGAUUUUGGUUAGACUUGUUCGCUGCAGCCGAGCCGCCCAGGGCAGAAUGAAGUCUAGGUGAAAUCCCGGGGCGGAGUUUUACUUUCCGGACCGGAUCUGCCGUGGCACUCAGAGCAGACACAGCACAGUCUGAAGGGCAUUUCACCCUCACGUCACAGAAUCCAAACCCAGACCACCCCUCCACCCCCUGACCGGACCCGACCCAUCCGCCCCGACCCGAACGCUCAGCAGGUCUCAGAGUCCCGCUCAGACGCUCCGUUUCACUGGUGCUGGCUGCCCGAGGGCCGAGUGCCCAGAGCGGCCGUAGCUUUUAGAUAAAUAGAGAAAAAUAAAAAAGUAAUAAACCGCA